rnacentral:misc_RNA from 1 species
CAACCCUCAGGCCCUGCCUGGCGUUGGAGGACUGCGCCCGCAGCCUCCCAAAGCAAGCGGCGGCGGCGCCCCCCCACCGAACGCAGUAGUUACCUCUCGUUCUGGGACGGGGACGUCGUCCGGCCGGAAAACACCCCUCUUCGCAGUGG